rnacentral:snRNA from 1 species
CGGGUCGAUCCGGGCGGAG